rnacentral:rRNA from 1 species
GUGAGGAAUAUUGGUCAAUGGACGGAAGUCUGAACCAGCCAUGCCGCGUGCAGGAAUAAGGUCCUAUGGAUUGUAAACUGCUUUUAUUCGGGAAUAAACCUCUUUACGUGUAGGGAGCUGAAGGUACCGAAGGAAUAAGCACCGGCUAACUCCGUGCCAGCAGCCGCGGUAAUACGGAGGGUGCAAGCGUUAUCCGGAAUCAUUGGGUUUAAAGGGUCCGCAGGCGGGCUAUCAAGUCAGAGGUGAAAUCCCACAGCUUAACUGUGGAACUGCCUUUGAAACUGAUGGUCUUGAAUUAAGUGGGCGUUGGCGGAAUAUGACAUGUAGCGGUGAAAUGCAUAGAUAUGGCAUGGAACACCGAAAGCGAAGGCAGCUAACGAUACUUAUAUUGACGCUCAUGGACGAAAGCGUGGGUAGCGAACAGGAUUAGAAACCCUUGUAGUCC